rnacentral:lncRNA from 1 species
AUAAUAGUUGAAGAUAUAUACAGCUGUUAGUGAACCUAUCCUGUGCCUUUGUUCAGGUUGACCAACAUGGCCUGUGCUGAUGUGGACAUGGACAUCCAGGAUGAAGAGGGGCCUUUCCAACGUGAGCAGAGAGUAAAACAUACAGAGCAGUAUUACCAAGCAUCUGAGAUGAUGCCUGAUUUCGAAGGACCUCUGCACAUGCUGCUGCAGAAACAACCUUCUGUGUUGGGGUCUAUACAGAUGGUGAGCGGCUUGUUCAGUGUUUUGCUUGGAAUUGUGUUUGCUGCGACUCAGGAUAUGCGGCAGUCCCUGUUCGCCUUGUUUCGGGUUUCCUAUCUGACAGGAGUGCUGUUCAUCUUUGCCGGGUUUGUUUCCAACCUGUUGUUUAAAUAUCCAGUACUACUGACGGUGUCCAUCACUGUUAACUGCGGCUGCAUCCUCAUCGCCAUUAUUGCAGCUGGACUGAUAAGCGCUGACCUGGCUGAGUGGAAGGCAGAG